rnacentral:rRNA from 1 species
UACGAAGGGGGCUAGCGUUGUUCGGAUUUACUGGGCGUAAAGCGCACGUAGGCGGAUCGUUAAGUCGGGGGUGAAAUCCUGGAGCUCAACUCCAGAACUGCCUUCGAUACUGGAGAGCUUGAGUCCGGGAGAGGUGAGUGGAACUGCGAGUGUAGAGGUGAAAUUCGUAGAUAUUCGCAAGAACACCAGUGGCGAAGGCGGCUCACUGGCCCGUUACUGACGCUGAGGUGCGAAAGCGUGGGUAGCAAACAGG